UGGAAGUAAAAAGUCGUAACAAGGUUUCCGUAGGUGAACCUGCGGAAGGAUCAUUACAUUCAGUAGCUUGCUACUGUUAGGGGGGUCCAUUAGUCUGUAUAGUAUCACUACUGAUGAGCAGCACGACUCCCUGUCUAUACCCUUGUCUUUUGCGUACUCAUGUUUCCUCGGCGGCUUGAUACCCGCCGGCUGGAUCAAUCUAUAACCUUUUUAAUUUUCAAUCAGCGUCUGAAAAACCUAAUAAUUACAACUUUCAACAACGGAUCUCUUGGUUCUGGCAUCGAUGAAGAACGCAGCGAAAUGCGAUAAGUAGUGUGAAUUGCAGAAUUCAGUGAAUCAUCGAAUCUUUGAACGCACAUUGCGCCCCUUGGUAUUCCAUGGGGCAUGCCUGUUCGAGCGUCAUUUGUACCCUCAAGCUCUGCUUGGUGUUGGGUGUUUGUCCACUGUCGUGGACUCGCCUUAAAGUCAUUGGCAGCCAGUGUUUUGGUAUUGAAGCGCAGCACAUUUUGCGCCUCUAGCCUAGAACACUCGCGUCCAGUAAGCCUUUUUCCACUUUGACCUCGGAUCAGGUAG
rnacentral:rRNA from 1 species